ACUGAUCCUAUGCUGCCGAGAAAAGCCUCUAGUGAGUUCAUACACGGCCCGUACCCCAAACCGACACAGGUGAUCAGGUAGAGAAUACCAAGGCGAUCGAGAGAACUGUGGUUAAGGAACUCGGCAAAAUGCCCCCGUAACUUCGGGAGAAGGGGGACCAUGCCCGGUGAACAUCUUCACGGUGGGAGCUGGGUGUGGUCGCAGAGACCAGAGAGAAGCGACUGUUUACUAAAAACACAGGUCCGUGCGAAGACGUAAGUCGAUGUAUACGGACUGACGCCUGCCCGGUGCUGGAAGGUUAAGAGGACCGGUUAGCCGUAAGGCGAAGCUGAGAAUUUAAGCCCCAGUAAACGGCGGUGGUAACUAUAACCAUCCUAAGGUAGCGAAAUUCCUUGUCGGGUAAGUUCCGACCUGCACGAAUGGCGUAACGACUUCUCUGCUGUCUCGACCACAGACUCGGCGAAAUUGCACUACGAGUAAAGAUGCUCGUUACGCGCGGCAGGACGAAAAGACCCCGGGACCUUUACUAUAGCUUGGUAUUGGCGUUCGAUUCGGUUUGCGUAGGAUAGGUGGGAGACUGUGAAGCAUGCACGCCAGUGUGUGUGGAGUCGUUGUUGAAAUACCACUCUGAUCGUAUUGGACGUCUAACCUCGGCCCAUGAUCUGGGUUAGGGACAGUGCCUGGUGGGUAGUUUAACUGGGGCGGUUGCCUCCUAAAGAGUAACGGAGGCGCCCAAAGGUUCCCUCAGCCUGGAUGGCAAUCAGGUGUUGAGUGCAAGUGCACAAGGGAGCUUGACUGUGAGACUGACACGUCGAGCAGGGACGAAAGUCGGGACUAGUGAUCCGGCACCGGCAAGUGGAAGCGGUGUCGCUCAACGGAUAAAAGGUACCCCGGGGAUAACAGGCUGAUCUUCCCCAAGAGUCCAUAUCGACGGGAUGGUUUGGCACCUCGAUGUCGGCUCGUCGCAUCCUGGGGCUGGAGUAGGUCCCAAGGGUUGGGCUGUUCGCCCAUUAAAGCGGCACGCGAGCUGGGUUUAGAACGUCGUGAGACAGUUCGGUCUCUAUCCGCCGCGCGCGUAAGAAACUUGAGGAAGGCUGUCCCUAGUACGAGAGGACCGGGACGGACGAACCUCUGGUGUGCCAGUUGUUCCACCAGGAGCAUGGCUGGUUAGCUACGUUCGGAAGGGAUAACCGCUGAAAGCAUCUAAGCGGGAAGCCUGUUCCAAGAUGAGGUUUCUCACCACCUUGCGUGGUUAAGGCCCCCUACAGACCAUGGGGUUGAUAGGCCAGAACUGGAAGCGCAGCAAUGCGUGGAGGUGACCGGUACUAAUAGGCCGAGGGCCU
rnacentral:rRNA from 1 species